CAGCUAGUUACAUCAAGACAUGGUGCUUCUGCCGAGGUAGUCUGUCAGCUAAAAAACUAAAAACAAACGAACCGUGCUUUCAGUAAUACUUCAAAUAUUUCAGGAUAUGCUGGCGGAGGGGAUUCUGGAGCAGCAGGUACCGGUCCAGGCUGACCCAGAUCAUGAAAAGGAUGCUUGAGUACAGGUUGAUGUGCAGGAUGAACCGAUUGAUGACACACAUGUAUGGUAGGACCUCCCCUUGCUUCCAUGCAUAUGUAUAUGAAAGGUACGGUAAUGUGCACAGAAAUACCAGGUCAGACGCAGCCAGGUUAAAGAGAUACACAUUAAUGCUCCUCCAUUUCCUCAUCCAGAGUAGAUAACCCAGGAUGACGAUCAAGUUUCCCAGGAAUCCCAGAAUGAACUCCACCCCGUACAUGACGGAUAAGUAGUAUAUUUCCAGCUGGAUGGGCAGCUCUGAGCAGUUGGGGGUCUGCAGAAAUGGUACAAAAUAAAACUUUGUGAAACACACAGCAAAUUUCUGAGACAUGAACAAAAACCAAGACAUCUAAAGUGUACUAUAGGGGUUAGACAGAGAAAUUAAAUGCAUUUAAUGUACUAAUUCCAUCAUUAUAUAAAGUACACUGUACAGACAAAGGUAUUGGGACACCUGGCCAUUUAUGACACCCCAUUUUAAAUCCAGAGGCAUUAAUAUGGAGCUGGUCCCCCUCCCCCUUUGCAGCUAUAACAGCUGCCACACUUCUGGGAAGAAUUUCCACAAGAUUUUGGAGUGUGUCUGUGAGAAUUUUUGACCAUUCAUCCAGAAGAGCAAUUGUAAGACCAGGCACUGAUGUUGGACAUCUCUGUUGUAGUUCAUCCCAAAGGUGUUUGAAGAGGUUAAGGUCAGGCUUCCCAUAAAGUUAGAAGCAUAGAAUUGCCCAAAAUGUCUCGGUAUGCUGAAGCAUUAAGAGCUCACUAGAACUAAGGGGCCCAACCCCUGAAAAACAACCACAAACUAUUAUCCCUCCCCCAUCAAACUUUACGGGUGGCACAGUGCAGUCAGGCAGGUAGUGUUCUCCUGGCAUCUGCCAAACCCAGACUCAUCUAUCAGACUGCCAGACAGAGACAUUUGUCACUCGCCAGAACACGUUUCCCCAGCUCCAGAUUCCAGUAGUGGCGUCUGUUUGUAAACCUGACUGGAUGACUAAGUGCUUGAUUUUAUACACCUAUAGCAAUGGGUCUGAAUGAAGAUGAUUAAGAGGUGUGUCCCAAUACUUUUGUUCAUAUGAUGUAUAUUAAUCAGUGUUAAUUAGAAUAUUAUAUGUGCCAGAAUAAUGAUAAGUCAGCUUAUACAUAAUCUGGUCCUGAUCCUGCUCUCUAUGUGCUGCACUAUUAUGCAAAUUAAGAUUCUCAGCUGUGUGUGUCUCAUGGAGAGCAGCGUGUGCCAGGCAAAAAGGAAAAUUCAAUGAUAAUACAGUUGUGCGUGGAACUGUUCUGCCCAGACAUGAGCGUAACACCAGGAGGUGACAAACCGCUGGCUGAACGCUACUUCCUGGGUCCUUAAGAAGUGUGUGAUGUGAAGAAGCAGAUAGUGAGCAGGUCACGCUUGUCAGGACAGAGUAGUUCUGCCCAGACAUGAGCGUAACACCAGGAGGUGACAAACCGCAGGCUGAACGCUACUUCCUGGGUGCUUAAGAAGUGUGUGAUGUGAAGAAGCAGACAGUGAGCAGGUCACGCUUGUCAGACAGAGUAGUUGCAUGUCCUGACAGUUAUCAGCUUCAUCUAUGACAAUUCAUCGAUUACAGCUUCACAUUUUUUUCCAUAAUUGUGUUGCAUCCAUUGACUGGUCCCCAUGCUUGCCUGACCUAAAUCCUAUAGAUGAUCUCUGGGGCAUUGUUUCGGUCUAUCCGACAGCGCCAGGUUGCACCUCAGACUGUCCAGGGGCUCAGUGAUGCCCUGGUCCUGAUCUCCGAGGAGAUCCCCCAGGACACCAUCCGUCGUCUCAUUAUGAGCAUGCCCCAAUGUUGUCAGGCAUGCAUACAACCACGUGGGGGCCAUACAAACUACUGAGUAUAAUGAUGUGGUAGCCUUUCAUUCCUAAUACAUUACCCAGUCCAUAUCAGUAUAGAUUUCCAGCAUGAUAUUUUUUUCCCUUUGAGAUCUGAUGUGUUUUCAAAGUAUUCCUUUAAUUUUUUUGAGAGGUGUAUAUGACGAUAUACUGUAUAUUUUGUGGAUGAACGAUGAUUAAAACCAACUAAACAAAA